rnacentral:misc_RNA from 1 species
UAGGGGUAAACAAGAAGCCUUUCACUUUCAGUUGAACAAAAACCCCAAAGACGGAGAAGAUUUCGAUGGACCGCCAAACUAAUCAACUCAACUUCUGUCUGAAAUUGGAUUUCACCACCAACAGCAUUGUAGUCCUUUAAUCUUUUGACAGCCACGACAGUUCCAUUAUUUAAGCGGCCCUUGUACACAACUCCAAAUCCUCCGCUACCCAAAAUGUUUUUUGAGCUGAAAUGAUCAGUUGCAGUUCGCAAUUCCUUAAAGACAUACCUUUUCAAG